GUGCUAGGAACCAAACCUAGGUACUCUUCAAGAGCAACUGGUGCUCUCAACCACUGAGCAAUCUCUUCAGUCUCCUAGUGAAAAGUCUAAAGAGCAAAAUACAAUGUAACCCUGAAAGUAACUUAGCAUGUAACCAGAUCAGGAGAGUAACAACUGAUCACUUGUAACAUACUCUCUUGGUUACAAGCAUAUCAUGAGUUGCAUUCAGACUGAAGCACAGACCUAUUGGGUAUGACCCACUGAGGCCACUUCGCAAUGUGCUGUUCAUACCCACCGAGGGUACAGUAGUACUCAAGAGUUCCAGUGAAGCUGCCAUGCAUUGCAUAAAUGAAGCUCAAUCCAGUGAUACUGCAGUGCACUGCACAGAUGAAGCUCAAUCCAGUGAUGCUGCAAUGUACUGCACAGAUGAAGCUCAAUCCAGUGAUGCUGCAGUGCACUGCACAGAUGAAGCUCAAUCCAGUGAUGCUGCAGUGCACUGCAUAGAUGAAGCUCAAUCCAGUGAUGCUGCAGUGCACUGCACAGAUGAAGCUCAAAAAAGUGAUGCUGCAGUGCACUGCACAGAUGAAGCUAUUUGAGGACAAGUAUAUCAAGGAACAUCACUUUCCUUCUCAGCUUUCAGCCCCGAUUAGGGAGCACCAACCCCCAGAUGUGCUUUGCAUCUGUAUAGGAAUGCCAUUUUCAGUGGUUUGAAUAUGCUUGGCCCAGGAAGUGGCAUUAUUUGGAGAUGUGGCAUAGAUGUUGGCGUAUGUGUCUCACUGUGGGUGUGGACUUUGAGACCCUUCUCCUACUGCCCAUGAGACAGUCUUCUGUUUGCCUUCAGAUCAAGAUGUAGAACUCUUAGCUCCUCCUGGGCCAUGCUGGCCUGGACACUGCCAUGCUCCCUCCUUGAUGAUAUUUGACUGAAACUCUGAACCUGUAAGCCCGCCCCAAUUAAAUGCUGUACUUAUAA
ensembl:lincRNA Gm12027 predicted gene 12027